CCCCUUGGAGGGAACUUUUGGAGAAAAGUCCUUGAUCUUUUGCAGAAAUGCAGAUGCCUGAGUUACAUGACUUGCAAUGAUUGUUUUCUAGACAGAAGUGCCAGCUGUUG